rnacentral:rRNA from 1 species
UGAGACCAAUCCCUGAACCGGAGCAAUCGGUCGACGUGAAGUGAUGACGGUUGCGGAUCGUAAAGCUCUGUUGUAGUCAAGAACGGGUGGUGGAGAGUGGAAAGUUCACACUGUGACGGUAGCUUACCCAGAAAGGGACGGCUAACUACGUGCCAGCAGCCCGCGGGUAAUACGUAGGUCCCGAGCGUUGUCCCGGAUUUAUUGGGCGUAAAGCGAGCGCAGGCGGUUUGAUAAGUCUGAAGUUAAAGGCUGUGGCUCAACCAUAGUUCGCUUUGGAAACUGUCAAACUUGAGUGCAGAAGGGGAGAGUGGAAUUCCAUGUGUAGCGGUGAAAUGCGUAGAUAUAUGGAGGAACACCGGUGGCGAAAGCGGCUCUCUGGUCUGUAACUGACGCUGAGGCUCGAAAGCGUGGGGAGCGAACAGGAUUAGAUACCCUGGUAGUCCACGCCGUAAACGAUGAGUGCUAGGUGUUGGAUCCUUUCCGGGAUUCAGUGCCGCAGCUAACGCAUUAAGCACUCCGCCUGGGGAGUACGACCGCAAGGUUGAAACUCAAAGGAAUUGACGGGGGCCCGCACAAGCGGUGGAGCAUGUGGUUUAAUUCGAAGCAACGCGAAGAACCUUACCAGGUCUUGACAUCCCGAUGCUAUUUCUAGAGAUAGAAAGUUACUUCGGUACAUCGGUGACAGGUGGUGCAUGGUUGUCGUCAGCUCGUGUCGUGAGAUGUUGGGUUAAGUCCCGCAACGAGCGCAACCCCUAUUGUUAGUUGCCAUCAUUCAGUUGGGCACUCUAGCGAGACUGCCGGUAAUAAACCGGAGGAAGGUGGGGAUGACGUCAAAUCAUCAUGCCCCUUAUGACCUGGGCUACACACGUGCUACAAUGGUUGGUACAACGAGUUGCGAGUCGGUGACGGCGAGCUAAUCUCUUAAAGCCAAUCUCAGUUCGGAUUGUAGGCUGCAACUCGCCUACAUGAAGUCGGAAUCGCUAGUAAUCGCGGAUCAGCACGCCGCGGUGAAUACGUUCCCGGGCCUUGUACACACCGCCCGUCACACCACGAGAGUUUGUAACACCCGAAGUGCGGUGAGGUAACCUUUUGGAGCCAGCCGCCUAAGGUGGGACAGAUGAUUGGGGUGAAGUCGUAACAUGAUGGCU